rnacentral:rRNA from 1 species
UACGGAGGGUGCAAGCGUUAUCCGGAUUCACUGGGUUUAAAGGGUGCGUAGGAGGGCAGGUAAGUCAGUGGUGAAAUCUCCAAGCUUAACUUGGAAACUGCCGUUGAUACUAUCUGUCUUGAAUACCGUGGAGGUGAGCGGAAUAUGUCAUGUAGCGGUGAAAUGCUUAGAUAUGACAUAGAACACCAAUUGCGAAGGCAGCUUGCUACACUGUUAUUGACACUGAGGCACGAAAGCGUGGGGAUCAAACAGG